rnacentral:rRNA from 1 species
UACAGAGGUUCCAAGCGUUGUUCGGAUUCAUUGGGCGUAAAGGGUGCGUAGGUGGCGCCGUAAGUCGGGUGUGAAAUUUCGGAGCUUAACUCCGAAACUGCAUUCGAUACUGCGGUGCUUGAGGACUGGAGAGGAGACUGGAAUUUACGGUGUAGCGGUGAAAUGCGUAGAUAUCGUAAGGAAGACCAGUGGCGAAGGCGGGUCUCUGGACAGUUCCUGACGCUGAAGCACGAAGGCCAGGGGAGCAAACGGG